rnacentral:rRNA from 1 species
CCUACGGGCGGCAGCAGUGAGGAAUAUUGGUCAAUGGGCGCGAGCCUGAACCAGCCAAGUAGCGUGAAGGAUGACUGCCCUACGGAUUGUAAACUUCUUUUAUAAAGGAAUAAAGUGAGGCACGUGUGCCUUUUUGUAUGUACCAUAUGAAUAAGGAUCGGCUAACUCCGUGCAAGCAGCAGCGGUAAUACGGCGGAUCCGAGCGUUAUCUGGAUUUAUUGGGUUUAAAGGGAGCGUAGGUGGAUUGUUAAGUCAGUUGUGAAAGUUUGCGGCUCAACCGUAAAAUUGCAGUUGAAACUGGGAGUCUUGAGUACAGUAGAGGUGGGCGGAAUUCGUUGUGUAGCGGUGAAAUGCUUAGAUAUCACGAAGAACUCCGAUUGCGAAGGCAGUUCACUGGACUGCAACUGACACUGAGGUUCGAAAGUGUGGGUAGCAAACAGGAUUAGAUACCCUAGUAGUC